UUCAUUGUGUUUGUGUGCAGGCAACUAAAGAGCUGAAACAGUACGACAACAAGAUCAUCGAGUGCACCUUUGCCAGUAACACCUGGGUGUUCAUGAGGCAGAGGGUGGACAAGAGCUUCCCCAACUCCUACGACACGGCCAUGGCUGUGUGUAAAAGCAUCCAGGAGCCCGUCACGAAGGCAAUCCUCCUGGAGUACGUGGACCGCUGUGCCCAGGCAGUCCAAGCACAGAACCGGAAACACCCACCAGACCCAGACUCUGAGCUAAUGCCCCCUCCCCCUCCAAAGAGACCCAACAGGCCUUAGCCCACAGCGGGGCUUUCCGGACUGCUUUACAGUCAUUAUGUGCAUCUACAUCACCAGCCACAUCAGCACCAAACAGAAAAAAGAAGACAUAUCAAGGCUCUCUACCCUCAGCACAUUGUCUUCAUCCUCCUGCCCAUGUAAGGAGAUCAGAAACCUUUGAUAGACUGAAUCACCGUCAUUCAUUUACCUUGUAGACUCGUUUGUAGCUUUAACUGCUGGUGUUCUUAUUAAAAUGAAAGACAUGAUGCUUAGUUUAUUUUUGUUUGGAUUUCCUAUUUAUCUUUUUUUAAAGUCUGAGCUAAUUGGUAUGUAUCAACAGGGAUGUUGUUAUGGCUGUGGAUAACACCUGGCGAUGACUACCUUGUUUAUGCUUUGUCGACUAGUUCCUUUAUUUGUACUGAAGGAAGAGUAAACAUCAUAAAAGCUCA